UUCACCACGGCAGCCGCCGAAAGAGACGCGCAACGAUUGUGACACAGCGAUUAAUUGCCGACAUUGAGUGGCAAAAAGCGGAUCCCGUUUAAGAACGCGAUGAGACAUGCGCGAUAACAAAGAAAGGACAGGCAUGCACAGACAAUGGUUUCCAAAGCAUGGCAUUUUGGGAUGAUUGGGCAUUAAGCUUGCAGUGACUCACACCAAAGAUGCUGCAUCAUCCCAAAAGGCGGUGUUCGUCUCCAUGGCGCCUUUUGUCUGGUUGCGUCGGAAUAAAAAGCGCGAUAACUGAUGCGCUUCAACAGCGAUUGCAAAGCAUGGGUGGCGGAUAUAAAGCGCAGUGACAGGUUUGAGGUUUUCCAUUAGCACAGCGUAAAGCACGCAAGCAUGGCGCGACUUGAUGCGGUUAAGACGCGAAAGGUGCUAGAUCUUUUUAUUGCCGGGCGCAGUCGGCGAGCAAUAGCUAGAGAGGUUGGAUGCUCAAAAUGUGCAGUAGACCGGAUUUGUCGCUCGUUUAUGGCCACACGCCGAGUGGAGGACGCACCUCGAUCAGGAAGGCCUUUGGCGACGACGGUGGACCAAGACAUGGCAAUCGUUGCAGCUGUCAGCUGCGAGCCCGCUAUAACUGCUCUCGAGAUCAAGAGGGAGCUUGAACUUCCGGUAUCAGUUUCAACUAUUAAGCGCAGGCUGUAUGCCGCUGGUCUGAAGAGCAGGGUGGCAUGUCAAAGGCCGCGCAUGAAUGAGUCGGAAAAGCGAGCCCGGUUGGAGUUGGCGACAGAGCACUUGUCUUGGCAGCAGGAAGACUGGAGAGAAGUCGUCUUCAGUGACGAAUCAACAUUUGUCACCAAGUGGGACCAGCAGCGCAGAGUGUGGAGACUCCUCGGCACGAGAUACGACGAGCAGUACAUCCAACAAGUGGCAGCUAGUGGGCGCUGCUCUAUCAGCGUGUGGGGCGCCGUUACCUGGCAAGGACUUGGACCGCUGCAUCUUAUUGAUGGGAACCUGACCGCGGACCAAUAGACUCGAAUUAUAGAGGAAGUCCUUGUUCCCUUUGCGCUGGAAGGCCCAUUCAAAGAUGGGGUAUAUAUUUUUCAGCAAGACAGGAGCCCUAUCCACACCGCGAGGAAAGUUGGAAAAACGCUUCAAGAACUUGGCAUCCAAGUAUUGCCAUGGCCCCCAAAGGGGGCAGACCUCAACAUAAUCGAAAACGUAUGGGGACAAAUGAAAAGGCGACUGGCCCGUCGUUCCAUUUCAGCUCAGAGGCGAGAGGAUUUGUGGAGGGCAGUCAAAGAAGAAUGGGACCACCUUCGUUCGCUCCCCGCUCUCGUUCCGGCAUUGUACGCCUCCAUUCCCGGGCGGCUUCGAGAUGUGGUCGCUGCCGGGGGGGCGUUCACCAAGCAUUAGGCAGGCUUGAGAUUUGAUUGUUCAGAAGUAAUAUCGUACGUGAAGCCGGUAGAUCAACGGCUAAAAAAUGUGCGAGAAUAACCACAUUAAAAAAAAUUCUUAAAAUACCCUUGCUGUGUCCACAAUCAAUCAUCAUCGCUCUGAAAACACACGCAUAAAAAAAUUAUUCGCAUAGCCUACACUUUCUGGCCAUUUAUUACGUAGAGUCGAUGCAUUCGAAAAACCACCAUCUUGUUUUGGUCUUAAAUACUGUUAUCAUCGCCAGUUACCAAACGUGUACACUUACCAAACGUGUACACUUAUACUCAGCAAUAUUUAAAUACAAGCGGGCAGGAGAAGCGCACCUUUUCUUACCAUAUAUACACACACAAAAAAACCGAUCCCGAACAAAAGGUAAACGCCAGCAUAUAUUUAAUCAUUUAAAAAAAAAAGAAGUAAGUGCAAAGGUCGGGAAACUCAGUCACACUUUCUACCAGGCCUUCAAAAAUGACAUAUUUACCUUCAAAAACCUCAUAUCCGACUAUCAUUGUAUGAGGCCGAUGCACUAUUUAAAACCAUUAUACUCGCCGGUGUGGCACAA